UUACUUUCCUCGGUAAUACAUAUACUAAAAUUGGAACAAUAUAGAGAAGGUUAGAAUGCCUCUUGUGUAAGGUUGACACACGAAACCGUGAAGUGUUCCACAUCCUU
rnacentral:snRNA from 1 species